rnacentral:rRNA from 1 species
UACAGAGGGGGCAAGCGUUGUUCGGAAUUACUGGGCGUAAAGGGCGCGUAGGCGGCCUUCUAAGUCGAACGUGAAAUCCCCGGGCUCAACCCGGGAACUGCGUCCGAUACUGGAAGGCUUGAAUCCGGGAGAGGGAUGCGGAAUUCCAGGUGUAGCGGUGAAAUGCGUAGAUAUCUGGAGGAACACCGGUGGCGAAGGCGGCAUCCUGGACCGGCAUUGACGCUGAGGCGCGAAAGCCAGGGGAGCAAGCGGG